AUGCUAGUUACCAUCAUUAAGUUGGGACUCUAGCGAGACUGCCAGUGAUAAACGUGGAGGAAGGUGGGGAUGACGUCAAAUCAUCAUGCCCCUUAUGACCUGGGCUACAAACGUGAUACAAUGGCUGGAACAAAGGGAUGCGAAGCAGUGAUGUGGAGCGAAACCCAUAAAAACAGUCUCAGUUCGGAUUGAAGUCUGCAACUCGACUUCAUGAAGUCGGAAUCGCUAGUAAUCGCGGAUCAGAACGCCGCGGUGAAUACGUUCUCGGGGUUU
rnacentral:rRNA from 1 species